UGCAGUCGAACGGUAACAUUUCAAAGCUUGCUUUGAAAAUGACGAGUGGCGGACGGGUGAGUAAUGCUUGGGAAUUUGCCUUUAGGUGGGGGACAACAGUUGGAAACGACUGCUAAUACCGCAUAAUUGCUACGGCACAAAGGGGGCUUCGGCUCUCGCCUUUAGAGAAGCCCAAGUGGGAUUAGGUAGUUGGUGAGGUAAAGGCUCACCAAGCCGACGAUCCCUAGCUGGUCUGAGAGGAUGAUCAGCCACACUGGAACUGAGACACGGUCCAGACUCCUACGGGAGGCAGCAGUGGGGAAUAUUGCACAAUGGGCGCAAGCCUGAUGCAGCCAUGCCGCGUGUGUGAAGAAGGCCUUCGGGUUGUAAAGCACUUUCAGUCGUGAGGAAGAGUUAGUAGUUAAUACCUGCUAGCUUUGACGUUAGCGACAGAAGAAGCACCGGCUAACUCCGUGCCAGCAGCCGCGGUAAUACGGAGGGUGCGAGCGUUAAUCGGAAUUACUGGGCGUAAAGCGUACGCAGGCGGCUAAGUAAGUCAGAUGUGAAAGCCCCGGGCUCAACCUGGGAACUGCAUUUGAAACUGCUUGGCUAGAGUGCGAGAGAGGGUGGUGGAAUUUCAGGUGUAGCGGUGAAAUGCGUAGAGAUCUGAAGGAAUACCAAUGGCGAAGGCAGCCACCUGGGUCGACACUGACGCUCAUGUACGAAAGCGUGGGUAGCAAACAGGAUUAGAUACCCUGGUAGUCCACGCCGUAAACGAUGUCUACUAGCAGUUUGCCUCUUAAGAGGUGUCUU
rnacentral:rRNA from 1 species